rnacentral:rRNA from 1 species
AUUGAACGCUGGCGGCAUGCCUUACACAUGCAAGUCGAACGGUAACAGGUCUUCGGAUGCUGACGGGUGGCGAACGGGUGAGUAAUACAUCGGAACGUGCCUAGUAGUGGGGGAUAACUACUCGAAAGAGUGGCUAAUACCGCAUGAGAUCUACGGAUGAAAGCAGGGGAUCGCAAGACCUUGUGCUACUAGAGCGGCCGAUGGCAGAUUAGGCAGUUGGUGGGAUAAAAGCUUACCAGGCCGACGAUCUGUAGCUGGUCUGAGAGGACGAUCAGCCACACUGGGACUGAGACACGGCGCAGACUCCUACGGGAGGCAGCAGUGGGGAAUUUUGGACAAUGGGCGCAAGCCUGAUCCAGCAAUGCCGCGUGCAGGAUGAAGGCCUUCGGGUUGUAAACUGCUUUUGUACGGAACGAAAAGCCCUGGGUUAAUACCCUGGGGUCAUGACGGUACCGUAAGAAUAAGCACCGGCUAACUACGUGCCAGCCGCCGCCGUAAAAC